AGAGUUUGAUCAUGGCUCAGAUUGAACGCUGGCGGCAGGCCUAACACAUGCAAGUCGAACGGUAACAGGAAACAGCUUGCUGUUUCGCUGACGAGUGGCGGACGGGUGAGUAAUGUCUGGGAAACUGCCUGAUGGGGGGGGAUAACUACUGGAAACGGUAGCUAAUACCGCAUAACGUCGCAAGACCAAAGAGGGGGACCUUCGGGCCUCUUGCCAUCGGAUGUGCCCAGAUGGGAUUAGCUUGUUGGUGGGGUAACGGCUCACCAAGGCGACGAUCCCUAGCUGGUCUGAGAGGAUGACCAGCCACACUGGAACUGAGACACGGUCCAGACUCCUACGGGAGGCAGCAGUGGGGAAUAUUGCACAAUGGGCGCAAGCCUGAUGCAGCCAUGCCGCGUGUAUGAAGAAGGCCUUCGGGUUGUAAAGUACUUUCAGCGGGGAGGAAGGGAGUAAAGUUAAUACCUUUACUCAUUGACGUUACCCGCAGAAGAAGCACCGGCUAACUCCGUGCCAGCAGCCGCGGUAAUACGGAGGGUGCAAGCGUUAAUCGGAAUUACUGGGCGUAAAGCGCACGCAGGCGGUUUGUUAAGUCAGAUGUGAAAUCCCCGGGCUCAACCUGGGAACUGCAUCUGAUACUGGCAAGCUUGAGUCUCGUAGAGGGGGUAGAAUUCCAGGUGUAGCGGUGAAAUGCGUAGAGAUCUGGAGGAAUACCGGUGGCGAAGGCGGCCCCUGGACGAAGACUGACGCUCAGGUGCGAAAGCGUGGGGAGCAAACAGGAUUAGAUACCCUGGUAGUCCACGCCGUAAACGAUGUCGACUUGGAGGUUGUGCCCUUGAGGCGUGGCUUCCGGAGCUAACGCGUUAAGUCGACCGCCUGGGGAGUACGGCCGCAAGGUUAAAACUCAAAUGAAUUGACGGGGCCGCACAAGCGGUGGAGCAUGUGGUUUAAUUCGAUGCAACGCGAAGAACCUUACCUGGUCUUGACAUCCACGGAAGUUUUCAGAGAUGAGAAUGUGCCUUCGGGAACCGUGAGACAGGUGCUGCAUGGCUGUCGUCAGCUCGUGUUGUGAAAUGUUGGGUUAAGUCCCGCAACGAGCGCAACCCUUAUCCUUUGUUGCCAGCGGUCCGGCCGGGAACUCAAAGGAGACUGCCAGUGAUAAACUGGAGGAAGGUGGGGAUGACGUCAAGUCAUCAUGGCCCUUACGACCAGGGCUACACACGUGCUACAAUGGCGCAUACAAAGAGAAGCGACCUCGCGAGAGCAAGCGGACCUCAUAAAGUGCGUCGUAGUCCGGAUUGGAGUCUGCAACUCGACUCCAUGAAGUCGGAAUCGCUAGUAAUCGUGGAUCAGAAUGCCACGGUGAAUACGUUCCGGCCUUGUACACACCGCCCGUCACACCAUGGGAGUGGGGGUUGCAUGAAAGAAGUAGGUAGCUUAACCUUCGGGAGGGCGCUUACCACUUUGUGAUU
rnacentral:rRNA from 1 species